UUAAAUUGAAGAGUUUGAUCAUGGCUCAGAUUGAACGCUGGCGGCAGGCCUAACACAUGCAAGUCGAACGGUAACAGGAAGCAGCUUGCUGCUUUGCUGACGAGUGGCGGACGGGUGAGUAAUGUCUGGGAAACUGCCUGAUGGAGGGGGAUAACUACUGGAAACGGUGGCUAAUACCGCAUAACGUCGCAAGACCAAAGAGGGGGACCUUCGGGCCUCUUGCCAUCAGAUGUGCCCAGAUGGGAUUAGCUAGUUGGUGAGGUAACGGCUCACCAAGGCGACGAUCCCUAGCUGGUCUGAGAGGAUGACCAGCCACACUGGAACUGAGACACGGUCCAGACUCCUACGGGAGGCAGCAGUGGGGAAUAUUGCACAAUGGGCGCAAGCCUGAUGCAGCCAUGCCGCGUGUAUGAAGAAGGCCUUCGGGUUGUAAAGUACUUUCAGCGGGGAGGAAGGUGUUGUGGUUAAUAACCGCAGCAAUUGACGUUACCCGCAGAAGAAGCACCGGCUAACUCCGUGCCAGCAGCCGCGGUAAUACGGAGGGUGCAAGCGUUAAUCGGAAUUACUGGGCGUAAAGCGCACGCAGGCGGUCUGUCAAGUCGGAUGUGAAAUCCCCGGGCUCAACCUGGGAACUGCAUUCGAAACUGGCAGGCUUGAGUCUUGUAGAGGGGGGUAGAAUUCCAGGUGUAGCGGUGAAAUGCGUAGAGAUCUGGAGGAAUACCGGUGGCGAAGGCGGCCCCCUGGACAAAGACUGACGCUCAGGUGCGAAAGCGUGGGGAGCAAACAGGAUUAGAUACCCUGGUAGUCCACGCCGUAAACGAUGUCUACUUGGAGGUUGUGCCCUUGAGGCGUGGCUUCCGGAGCUAACGCGUUAAGUAGACCGCCUGGGGAGUACGGCCGCAAGGUUAAAACUCAAAUGAAUUGACGGGGGCCCGCACAAGCGGUGGAGCAUGUGGUUUAAUUCGAUGCAACGCGAAGAACCUUACCUGGUCUUGACAUCCACAGAAGAAUCCAGAGAUGGAUUUGUGCCUUCGGGAACUGUGAGACAGGUGCUGCAUGGCUGUCGUCAGCUCGUGUUGUGAAAUGUUGGGUUAAGUCCCGCAACGAGCGCAACCCUUAUCCUUUGUUGCCAGCGAUUAGGUCGGGAACUCAAAGGAGACUGCCAGUGAUAAACUGGAGGAAGGUGGGGAUGACGUCAAGUCAUCAUGGCCCUUACGACCAGGGCUACACACGUGCUACAAUGGCGCAUACAAAGAGAAGCGACCUCGCGAGAGCAAGCGGACCUCAUAAAGUGCGUCGUAGUCCGGAUUGGAGUCUGCAACUCGACUCCAUGAAGUCGGAAUCGCUAGUAAUCGUGGAUCAGAAUGCCACGGUGAAUACGUUCCCGGGCCUUGUACACACCGCCCGUCACACCAUGGGAGUGGGUUGCAAAAGAAGUAGGUAGCUUAACCUUCGGGAGGGCGCUUACCACUUUGUGAUUCAUGACUGGGGUGAAGUCGUAACAAGGUAACCGUAGGGGAACCUGCGGUUGGAUCACCUCCUUACCUUAAAGAAGC
rnacentral:rRNA from 1 species